AAAGUCGUAACAAGGUUUCCGUAGGUGAACCUGCGGAAGGAUCAUUAUAUUUAGGACUUCGGGGGGCUUGUAAGCCUAUAUCACUAUAGCUUGCCCCUGUCUGGACCCUUGACUUUGGCGUACUUAUGUUUCCUCGGCGGGCCUGCCCGCCGUUGGACCACCCAUAACCUUUUAAAUAUUUACUCAGCGUCUGAAAAAACAUAAUAAUUACAACUUUCAACAACGGAUCUCUUGGUUCUG
rnacentral:misc_RNA from 1 species